rnacentral:rRNA from 1 species
CUUGAAAUCGGCACAUGGUUAAACUAGUGUCGAGUUGUAGCUUUUGGAAGCAGUUAUUUAUCCACAGAUUGCGGUAAAAGUUCUUUUGAAUAAGACAUCAAAGAGGGUGAUAGUCCCGUCCUUGACCGUAGUCUAUGUGGUGAUACAUACUGUUUUCUGUGAGUCGGGUUGUUUGGGAUUGCAGCCCAAAUUGGGAGGUAAAUUUCUUCCAAAGCUAAAUAUUAGUAAGAGACCGAUAGCAAACAAGUACCGUGAGGGAAAGAUGAAAAGCACUUUGAAAAGAGAGUGAAAAGUACGUGAAAUUGUUGAAAGGGAAGCGAUUGGUAGCCAAGCAUUUCCUUUUGUUAGGGCACUUUUAGUGUCAGAGCAUUAGGAGGGUCAACAUCGAUUGCCGACUUAAGUCUGCCAGAAGGGAAUAUUGGAGAGAAGGUAGGAAGGCUAGUUCCAUCUUGGUUUCGGCUGAGAAGGGCUAAUAGCUAGUUUUUUGUUAUAGCUCACCAAGGAUUUGCUCUAGUGGUGGAGGCGAUCGAGGAUAGCAGUGCGUUUUCGGGAUUUAUCCUGGAUGGCUUGAUUGUUCUUAGCAGGGACUUUUCUUGCAAAUUAUUUGUAGGGAAACGUUUUGUAGCUGCAACCUGAAAGACAGCUUGCUGACUUUUGGGGUGUAAUAGGCUAUCUGUUUUAGGGGCAAUUGAGACUAAUAAGCACUUUGGAUGUUGGCGAAAAGGCACUAAUCGGCCCGUCUUGAAACACGGACCAAGGAGUCCAACAUGCAUGCGAGUAUUUGGGAAAAAUAAACAAACCCACAUGCGCAAUGAAAGUGAAGUAGUAGAAACUUUUAUUAGAGUGUUACCCCCUUUUUUCGGGGGGGACAGCACCGACCGACCUUCGAUAGCGCUGCUUGAAGAGGUUGAGUAAGAGCAUGUAUGCUGGGACCCGAAAGAUGGUGAACUAUGCCUGAAUAGGGUGAAGUCAGAGGAAACUCUGAUGGAGGCUCGUAGAGAUUCUGACGUGCAAAUCGAUCUCCAAAUUUGGGUAUAGGGGCGAAAGACUAAUCGAACCAUCUAGUAGCUGGUUCCUGCCGAAGUUUCCCUCAGGAUAGCAGAGACUGGAAUAAAAAAUUUUAAAGCAGUUUUACGAGGUAAAGCGAAUGAUUAGAGGCCUUGGGGAUGCAAUAUCCUUAACCUAUUCUCAAACUUUGAAUGCGUAAGAAGCUGCAGUUGCUUAAUUUGAACUGUUGGCGCUUUUAAUGAAUGCAUCAGUCUCUAGUGGGCCAUUUUUGGUAAGCAGAACUGGCGAUGCGGGAUGAACCGAACGUAGAGUUAAGGUGCCCAAAUGCACGCUCAUUUAGACACCAUAAAAGGUGUUAGUUCAUCUAGACAGCAGGACGGUGGCCAUGGAAGUCGGAAUCCGCUAAGGAGUGUGUAACAACUCACCUGCCGAAUGAACUAGCCCUGAAAAUGGAUGGCGCUCAAGCGUGCUACCGAUACUCUACCGUCAAAGUUAUUUUGAUAAAUAAGGCUUUGACGAGUAGGCAGGCGUGGAGGUUAGUAGAGAAGCUAUGGGCGUAAGCUCUAGUGGAACAGCC